rnacentral:rRNA from 1 species
UUCUAAUAGUGUAAAGACGGUCUUUGCUUGUCACUUAUAGAUGGAUCCGCGCUGCAUUAGCUAGUUGGUAAGGUAACGGCUUACCAAGGCAACGAUGCAUACCGACCUGAGAGGGUGAUCGGCCACACUGGAACUGAGUACACGGUCCAGACUCCUACGGGUAGGCAGCAGUAGGGAAUCUUCCGCAAUGGGCGAAAGCCUGACGGAGCAACGCCGCGUGAGUGAUGAAGGUUCUUCGGAUCGUAAACUCUGUUAUUAGGGAAGAACAUAUGUGUAAGUAACUGUGCACAUCUUGACGGUACCUAAUCAGAAAGCCACGGCUAACUACGUGCCAGCAGCCGCGGUAAUACGUAGGUGGCAAGCGUUAUCCGGAAUUAUUGGGCGUAAAGCGCGCGUAGGCGGUUUUUUAAGUCUGAUGUGAAAGCCCACGGCUCAACCGUGGAGGGUCAUUGGAAACUGGAAAACUUGAGUGCAGAAGAGGAAACUGGAAUUCCAUGUGUAGCGGUGAAAUGCGCAGAGAUAUGGAGGAACACCAGUGGCGAAGGCGACUUUCUGGUCUGUAACUGACGCUGAUGUGCGAAAGCGUGGGGAUCAAACAGGAUUAGAUACCCUGGUAGUCCACGCCGUAAACGAUGAGUGCCUCAGUGUUAGGGGUUUCCGCCCCUUAGUGCUGCAGCUAAC